AGCAGCCGCGGUAAUUCCAGCUCCAAUAGCGUAUAUUAAAGUUGUUGCAGUUAAAAAGCUCGUAGUUGAACUUCGGGGUCUACCCAUUGGUCAGGCUUUUGUCUGCACUGGUGAGACGGAUCUCUACCUUCUGAGGAACUUUCAUGCCAUUUAUUUGGUGUGGUUGGAAAUCAGGACUGUUACUUUGAAAAAAUUGAGUGUUUAAAGCAGACUAUCGUCUGAAUACAUUAGCAUGGAAUAAUGAAAUAGGACGGACUGAUUCUAUUUCGUUGGUUUCUAGGAUCACCGUAAUGAUUAAUAGGGAUAGUUGGGGGCAUUAGUAUUCAAUUGUCAGAGGUGAAAUUCUUGGAUUUUAUUGAAGACUAACUACUGCGAAAGCAUUUGCCAAGGAUGUUUU
rnacentral:rRNA from 1 species